rnacentral:tRNA from 1 species
AUUGAUUUGGCAGAUUAUUGUAUUAAUUUUAGAAAUUAAUAGAAGUGUAAGUUUACACAUUCAAUU